AAUAAGCGGAGGAAAAGAAACCAACAGGGAUUGCCCCAGUAACGGCGAGUGAAGCGGCAACAGCUCAAAUUUGAAAUCUGGCCCCAGGCCCGAGUUGUAAUUUGCAGAGGAUGCUUUUGGUGACGCGCCUACCGAGUCCCCUGGAACGGGGCGCCACAGAGGGUGAGAGCCCCGUAUGGUUUGACGCCGAGCCUCUGUAAAGCUCCUUCGACGAGUCGAGUAGUUUGGGAAUGCUGCUCUAAAUGGGAGGUAAAUUUCUUCUAAAGCUAAAUACCGGCCAGAGACCGAUAGCGCACAAGUAGAGUGAUCGAAAGAUGAAAAGCACUUUGAAAAGAGGGUUAAAUAGCACGUGAAAUUGUUGAAAGGGAAGCGCUCGUGACCAGACUUGCGCCGGGCGGAUCAUCCAGCGUUCUCGCUGGUGCACUCCGCCCGGCUCAGGCCAGCAUCGGUUUUCGCCGGGGGAUAAAAGCACCGGGAAUGUGGCUCCCCUCGGGGAGUGUUAUAGCCCGGGGCGCAAUACCCCGGCGGGGACCGAGGACCGCGCUUCGGCAAGGAUGCUGGCGUAAUGGUCAUCAGCGACCCGUCUUGAAACACGGACCGAGGAGUCAAGCAUUAGUGCGAGUGUUUGGGUGUAAAACCCGCACGCGUAAUGAAAGUGAACGUAGGUGAGAGCUUCGGCGCAUCAUCGACCGAUCCUGAUGUUUUCGGAUGGAUUUGAGUAGGAGCAUUAACGCUUGGACCCGAAAGAUGGUGAACUAUACUUGAAUAGGGUGAAGCCAGAGGAAACUCUGGUGGAGGCUCGCAGCGGUUCUGACGUGCAAAUCGAUCGUCAAAUUUGAGUAUAGGGGCGAAAGACUAAUCGAACCAUCUAGUAGCUGGUA
rnacentral:rRNA from 1 species